UUGAAACCCCCGAUUUGAUUUUCCGACUCCACAGAUAGUCACAAGACAUUUAUAUAGAUCUGCAACAAGUCGCUUCAUUUCUUCAAUUAUAUAAUAAUUUUCUUUAUAGGAAUGAUUUACACCAUUGUGGAGAGAUGACUCUGCUGCAACGCUGUGACCUCUAUAAACCCGCCAGAGCCAAAAAGGAUUGUGGAUCGACAUCCGAGCGACAAAGUCACUAUACACUCACCCACCAGUACCGACGACCUACCGGAGAAAGAAGUGCGCAGAUUUAAUGAUGAUAUAUUCGUCGUCAACCUUUGGUGAAAAGGAAGGCUGAAAAAGAUUUUAUUUAGAUGAAAAAGAAACCCUUCAAUAUAAAUAUGUCAGCUUAUUCUGCAAAACCAAUACAUAAACCAAUCACUAUACACCUAUACGGGGAGACAGAGUUAUUGCUAAAGUGUUCAUCUAUACGCCGUUGAAAUGUAUGAAUGAUACCCCAUUCAAAUUUCCUUGGCUAUAAUACAAAGUACACAAGCUUUAUUG